rnacentral:rRNA from 1 species
UAAUACGUAGGAGGCAAGCGUUAUCCGGAAUUACUGGGCGUAAAGGGCGUCUAGGUGGACGCCCAAGCGGGGUGUGAAAGCUCCUGGCUUAACUGGGAGAGUGCGCUCCGAACUGGGCGACUAGAGGGCAGGCGACGGAGGUGGAAUACCCGGUGGAGUGGUGAAAUGCGUAGAGAUCGGGUGGAACACCAGUGGCGAAGGCGGCCUUCGAGCCUGUGCCUGACACUGAAGCGCGAGAGCGUGGGGAGCAAACGGGAUUAGAUACCCCGGUAGUCCACGCCGUAAACGAUGAUGACUAGGUGUAUGGGGUUGUAACAAACCCUGUGUGCCGCAGCCAACGCGAUAAGUCAUCCGCCUGGGGAGUACGGCCGCAAGGCUA